rnacentral:rRNA from 1 species
CCUACGGGAGGCAGCAGUGAGGAAUAUUGGUCAAUGGGCGAGAGCCUGAACCAGCCAAGUCGCGUGAGGGAGUACUGCCCUAUGGGUUGUAAACCUCUUUUGUCGGGGAGCAAAAGCCGGACGUGUCCGGCUGUGAGAGUACCCGAAGAAAAAGCAUCGGCUAACUCCGUGCCAGCAGCCGCGGUAAUACGGAGGAUGCGAGCGUUAUCCGGAUUUAUUGGGGUUAAGGGGUGCGCAGGCGGAUUUUUAAGUCAGCGGUCAAAUCGUGGGGCUCAACCCCAUCCAGCCGUUGAAACUGGGGAUCUAGAGUGUGCGAGAGGUAUGCGGAAUGCGUGGUGUAGCGGUGAAAUGCAUAGAUAUCACGCAGAACCCCGAUUGCGAAGGCAGCAUACCGGUGCACAACUGACGCUCAGGCACGAAAGCGUGGGUAUCGAACAGGAUUAUAUACCCUUGUAGUC